AUUGAACGCUGGCGGCAGGCUUAACACAUGCAAGUCGAGCGGUAACAGGGGAGCUUGCUCCUGCUGACGAGCGGCGGACGGGUGAGUAACGCGUAGGAAUCUACCUAGUAGAGGGGGACAACAUGUGGAAACGCAUGCUAAUACCGCAUACGCCCUAAGGGGGAAAGGAGGGGACUUUUCGGAGCCUUCCGCUAUUAGAUGAGCCUGCGUAAGAUUAGCUAGUUGGUAGGGUAAAGGCCUACCAAGGCGACGAUCUUUAACUGGUCUGAGAGGAUGACCAGUCACACUGGGACUGAGACACGGCCCAGACUCCUACGGGAGGCAGCAGUGGGGAAUAUUGGACAAUGGGCGGAAGCCUGAUCCAGCCAUGCCGCGUGUGUGAAGAAGGCCUUAGGGUUGUAAAGCACUUUCAGGGGUGAGGAAGGGUAGCUAGUUAAUACCUAGUUAUCUGGACGUAGCCCC
rnacentral:rRNA from 1 species